CCCAGGAUAGCUCAGUUGAUCAGAGCAUGGUGCUGAUCACGCCAAGGUUGCAGGUUCGAUCUCUGUAUGGGA